GGGUUGUGAGGUUAAGCGACUAAGCGUACACGGUGGAUGCCCUGGCAGUCAGAGGCGAUGAAGGGCGUGCUAAUCUGCGAUAAGCGCCGGUAAGGUGAUAUGAACCGUUAUAACCGGCGAUACCCGAAUGGGGAAACCCAGUGUGAUUCGUCACACUAUCAUUACGUGAAUACAUAGCGUAAUGAAGCGAACCGGGGGAACUGAAACAUCUAAGUACCCCGAGGAAAAGAAAUCAACCGAGAUUCCCCCAGUAGCGGCGAGCGAACGGGGAGGAGCCCAGAGCCUGAAUCAGCAUGUGUGUUAGUGGAAGCGUCUGGAAAGGCGCGCGAUACAGGGUGACAGCCCCGUACACAAAAGCGCAUGUGUUGUGAGCUCGAUGAGUAGGGCGGGACACGUGGUAUCCUGUCUGAAUAUGGGGGGACCAUCCUCCAAGGCUAAAUACUCCUGACUGACCGAUAGUGAACCAGUACCGUGAGGGAAAGGCGAAAAGAACCCCGGCGAGGGGAGUGAAAAAGAACCUGAAACCGUGUACGUACAAGCAGUGGGAGCACCCUUUGGGGUGUGACUGCGUACCUUUUGUAUAAUGGGUCAGCGACUUAUAUUCUGUAGCAAGGUUAACCGAAUAGGGGAGCCGGAGGGAAACCGAGUCUUAAU
rnacentral:rRNA from 3 species